CAUAUCAAUAAGCGGAGGAAAAGAAACUAACAAGGAUUCCCCUAGUAACUGCGAGUGAAGCGGGAAAAGCUCAAAUUUUAAAUCUGGCAGUCUCUGGCUGUCCGAGUUGUAAUCUAGAGAAGUGUUAUCCGCGCUGGACCGUGUACAAGUCUCCUGGAAUGGAGCGUCAUAGAGGGUGAGAAUCCCGUCUUUGACACGGACUGCCAGGGCUUUGUGAUGCGCUCUCAAAGAGUCGAGUUGUUUGGGAAUGCAGCUCAAAAUGGGUGGUAAAUUCCAUCUAAAGCUAAAUAUUGGCGAGAGACCGAUAGCGAACAAGUACCGUGAGGGAAAGAUGAAAAGAACUUUGGAAAGAGAGUUAAACAGUACGUGAAAUUGCUGAAAGGGAAACGCUUGAAGUCAGUCGCGUUGGCCAGGGAUCAACCUUGCUUUUGCUUGGUGCACUUUCUGGUUGACGGGUCAGCAUCAAUUUUGACCAUUGGAAAAAGGUCAGGGGAAUGUGGCAUCCUCGGAUGUGUUAUAGCCCUUAGCUGCAUACAAUGGUUGGGAUUGAGGAACUCAGCACGCCGAAAGGCCGGGUUUUUAACCACGUACGUGCUUAGGAUGCUGGCAUAAUGGCUUUAAUCGACCCGUCUUGAAACACGGACCAAGGAGUCUAACAUACCUGCGAGUGUUUGGGUGGAAAACCCGAGCGCGCAAUGAAAGUGAAAGUUGAGAUCCCUGUCGUGGGGAGCAUCGACGCCCGGACCAGACCUUUUGUGACGGCCCCGCGGUAGAGCAUGUAUGUUGGGACCCGAAAGAUGGUGAACUAUGCCUGAAUAGGGUGAAGCCAGAGGAAACUCUGGUGGAGGCUCGUAGCGAUUCUGACGUGCAAAUCGAUCGUCAAAUUUGGGUAUAGGGGCGAAAGACUAAUCGAACCAUCUAGUAGCUGGUUCCUGCC
rnacentral:rRNA from 1 species